GACGAACGCUGGCGGCGUUCCUAAUACAUGCAAGUAGAACGCUGAAGGAGGAGCUUGCUCUUCUGGAUGAGUUGCGAACGGGUGAGUAACGCGUAGGUAACCUGCCUGGUAGCGGGGGAUAACUAUUGGAAACGAUAGCUAAUACCGCAUAAGAGUAGAUGUUGCAUGACAUUUACUUAAAAGGUGCAAUUGCAUCACUACCAGAUGGACCUGCGUUGUAUUAGCUAGUUGGUGGGGUAACGGCUUACCAAGGCGACGAUACAUAGCCGACCUGAGAGGGUGAUCGGCCACACUGGGACUGAGACACGGCCCAGACUCCUACGGGAGGCAGCAGUAGGGAAUCUUCGGCAAUGGACGGAAGUCUGACCGAGCAACGCCGCGUGAGUGAAGAAGGUUGUCGGAUCGUAAAGCUCUGUUGUAAGAGAAGAACGAGUGUGAGAGUGGAAAGUUCACACUGUGACGGUAUCUUACCAGAAAGGGACGGCUAACUACGUG
rnacentral:rRNA from 1 species